rfam:Oryza barthii chromosome 3, whole genome shotgun sequence.
UCCUAUUUUAACUAUAAGUUUCCACGUUAAACUUUAAUCGUCCGUCUUAUUUAAAGAUUUUUUAUAAUUAAUAUUUUUAUUGUUAUGACAUGAUAAAAUAUGAAUAGUAUUUUACUCGUGACUUAUAUUCCUAAAUUUUUUUAAAAAAAUUUCAAAUAAAACGGACUGUCAAAGUUGGACGCGAAAAACCAUGGUUGCACCUAAA